AGAGUUUGAUCAUGGCUCAGAGCGAACGCUGGCGGCGUGCUUAACACAUGCAAGUCGAGUGCGCGCCUGUAGCAAUACAGGUGGCGCACGGCGCACGGGUGCGUAACACGUGGGUAAUCUGCCCUUCGAUGGGGAAUAACUCGCCGAAAGGCGAGCUAAUUCCGCAUAACAUUCCGAGAACCUUGGUUUUUGGAUUCAGAGGCGUAAGUCGUCGGAGGAGGAGCCCGCGCACGAUUAGCUAGUUGGUGAGGUAAUGGCUCACCAAGGCUAUGAUCGUUAGCUGGUCUGAGAGGAUGGCCAGCCACACUGGAACUGAGACACGGUCCAGACUCCUACGGGAGGCAGCAGUGGGGAAUCUUGCACAAUGGGCGAAAGCCUGAUGCAGCGACGCCGCGUGGGGGAUGAAGCUUUUCGGAGUGUAAACCCCUUUCGACCCGGACGAAUGCCCCGCAAGGGGACUGACGGUACGGGUACAAGAAGCCCCGGCUAACUACGUGCCAGCAGCCGCGGUAAGACGUAGGGGGCCAGCGUUGCUCGGAAUUACUGGGUGUAAAGGGUUCGUAGGCGGUGUGGCAAGUCGGGAGUGAAAUCUCUGGGCUCAACCCAGAGUCUGCUUCCGAAACUGCUGUGCUUGAGUGUGGGAGAGGCGCGUGGAAUUGCAGGUGUAGCGGUGAAAUGCGUAGAUAUCUGCAGGAACACCCGUGGCGAAAGCGGCGCGCUGGACCACUACUGACGCUGAGGAACGAAAGCUAGGGGAGCAAACAGGAUUAGAUACCCUGGUAGUCCUAGCCCUAAACGAUCAGGACUUGGGGUGCCGCCCGUUCGGGCGUCGUCCCGGAGCUAACGCGUUAAGUCCUGCACCUGGGGAGUACGGUCGCAAGACUGAAACUCAAAGGAAUUGAC
rnacentral:rRNA from 1 species